rnacentral:rRNA from 1 species
GACGAACGCUGGCGGCGCGCUUAACACAUGCAAGUCGAGCGAAGCGGCGGACGGGUGAGUAACACGUGAGUCACCUGCCUUAGACCUUGGGAUAGCCUCGGGAAACCGGGAUUAAUACCAAAUGGUCUAAGAUGGACUCGCGUCCCAUUAGCGAGUUGGUGAGGUAACGGCCCACCAAGGCGACGAUGGGUAGCAGGGCGGAGAGGGUGAACGGCAACAGUGGAACGGAGAAACGGGCCAAACUCUGCGGGAGGCAGCAGUGGGGAAGAUUGCACAAUGGAGGGAACGCUGAUGCAGCGACGCCGGGUGAACGAAGAAGGCUGUCGAGUCGUAAAGUUCUUUUAUAUGGGAAGCGGUACCAGAAGAAAAAGCCCCGGCUAACUACGUGCCAGCAGCCGCGGUAAUAC